rnacentral:rRNA from 1 species
GGGCGAACGGCUGGCGGCGUGCCUAACACAUGCAAGUCGAGCGAGGAGAUCCUUCGGGAUGAUCCUAGCGGCGGACGGGUGAGUAACACGUGGGCAACCUGCCUCAUAGAGAGGAAUAGCCUUCCGAAAGGGAGAUUAAUACCUCAUAACAUUGCAGUUUCGCAUGGAACAGCAAUUAAAGGAGCAAUCCGCUAUGAGAUGGGCCCGCGGCGCAUUAGCUAGUUGGUGAGGUAACGGCUCACCAAGGCGACGAUGCGUAGCCGACCUGAGAGGGUGAUCGGCCACAUUGGGACUGAGACACGGCCCAGACUCCUACGGGAGGCAGCAGUGGGGAAUAUUGCACAAUGGGGGAAACCCUGAUGCCAGCAACGCCGCGUGAGUGAUGACGGCCUUCGGGUUGUAAAGCUCUGUCUUCAGGGACGAUAAUGACGGUACCUGAGGAGGAGGCCACGGCUAACUACGUGCCAGCCGCCGC